rnacentral:ncRNA from 1 species
AGAUAAACAUAGCAAACCAUCUGAAAGGAUGGGACGCAAAGCCUUGGAUCUAACGACAUUGUUCUAUGACUGCCAGGUUGCAUCA